GUUUCUAUAGUAUAAAAAAAUACAUAUCCGUUUCAAAGAUAAGAUAAAUUAAUUAUUUAGAAAUA
rnacentral:tRNA from 1 species